rnacentral:lncRNA from 1 species
AUUUAAAGGUAUGACACUAACAGAAAGAGGAGUCACGCCAGCGUGCACAUCCCUGAAGAUGAGAAGAGAAGAGUUUCGUAAUAGUAUAAAUGCAAUUCAAAUAAUAUCAAAACGGUAAAGAGCGGCAUUUAGCACAUUAGGCUCAAAUAUGUAAAAAUCAGACAAUGAAUAAAGCCAAAAUAUAACAGUUAUUCUAAGAUCGAAUUCUUGAACCCUGAAUCGGAAGUUCUAAGUUCUUUUCUCCAGCAGAGUCGCCAGAGCUAUCACACCUCCUUUUAAACCACUCGAGGGGGGGAUAUACCUGAGUUUUUUCCAAUUAAAGUGACAUUAUUCAAAUGGGAUUAUUUUAUUUAUUUUAUCAUAGUCGCCACUUGGGAUAAUUUAUUGUGUCCCAAGUCACUGGUUUAUUUUGAAAUCCUAAAUUGAGGAAAUUUGACUUUUAUUUUUUAAAGUCUGUGAACCAAAAAUUCUAGAUAAGGAAUUCUGUUAACUCGGGAGAAAGUGUUAGUCAUUCCAAGGUUCCGUAGUUCUAGCACGGUCACUUAAACUAUUAAUAAUUGCCCUAUUAUCCAAUUUAUUACAUGUUUCAACCUAUUGUGCAUUUUUACCUUAUAACCGCUUUUAUUUAUUUAUUGUUACAUAUUGUGAAUCAUGUUAUGAGAACUGUACCCACGAUCUACAAUAUAUUUAACUUUUAAAGAUUAAAUUGUGGCCGGGUCACAUAAAUGUACCCCGAAUUUUAGUAAUUAAGCAUCACAACUAUGCACGGGAACCGUACCCGUAUCUAUAAAAAUUAUUUAAUUAACGCGCCUAAAGCAAACUACGAAAGUUCAAGGCAUUUCUAAACUAAUUUUGUAUUUGUAUGAGGGCCAUAAAUUAAAGGAAUUUAUUUGUAUAUGGCACACCCCUAAUUAUUUGUUCUAAAUUUGUGAGGGCCAUGUGUUAUAGAUUCAAAGCAUGGCACACCGCAAGUUAAAAAAAAGUUUAUAUAUAUUUUAAAGGCAAACUAAAACUACUCUUAUUUUAAACUAAUUUAAAACUAAUUAUCACAAAUACGUCACGGGAGCCGCACCCAUAGUUGUAAUAAUUCUAAAUGCACGGCUAAAGCAGACUACAGGUAUUUUAAAGAAUCAAUUACUUCUAAGUUUAUAUUAACUAACAAGAGGGCCAUGGGUAAUUUUAACGAAAAUGGCACGCCUCCAACCAUUUUUAAAAAGGAUUAAACUUGAUUAAGCUUAGGUUAUUCCCAUCCAAAUUUGGGCCUGAAACGAUAGACACAGGGAUCGGGCCAAAGGCGAGCCCAGCAUAUUAUUUGCAUGCCUCUUCCAUUCUAAAAAAAAAGAGGGACACCAUCAUUCAUUGAGCCUAAAUUUAAGCCCAGAAUCAGAUCCUGCAAUUGAGCCCAAACACAUGCCCAAACAAAAUAAAAUGCUGAGGCUAAAGAGAACCUAUUGUUCUGGGCUAAAAUGAGGCCAACAUGCAGCCAGCCCAUAUACUUCAAUUUACCCCUAUUUGAAUUGAUCUAUUAAUGGAAUCCAUCCCAUGAAACCAAUGUAACCUUAUGAAAGAGAUGAGCCCAAAAAUGAAAGAAACUAGAAAUUCGAUUAAGGAAAUCCAUUAAUUUUCCUUCAAUAAAUUCUGCACAGCUUGACAUAAUAAGAUACAGACUGAGAAAAGAGCAAACACUGUUGUCAUUCACAUUAAAAGAUUAUCAAAGAAUAAGGAUUCACUUCCAAAUCUCUAAAAAAAUGACAUCUACAUAUGAAAGGUGCUAUGCAACUAAUGUGAUACACAACAAGGCUCAUGAACCAUUCUUGGCUAUUAGCUUUGUCAUUGCUUGAAAUCAAUCUUGUCUUUAACAUUAUAUGCAUCACAUUUCAGUGCUUGAAAUCAAUCUUGCCUUUAACAUUAUAUGCAGCACAUUUCAGGGCUUGAAAUCAAUCUUGUCUUUAACAUUAUAUGCAUCACGUUCUAUGUCCUUAACUUUCAAUCAAUACAUUCACUGGCUUCAUGCUCCUUUAACUACCCUCUCCAACAAAUUUUAACCCAAGAGAAAGCAAGAUGUUGUUCAUCAGAAGUGCAUGAUGCUGACAACCAAAACCUUUAAAUCCCAAUUUAUCAAACUAUCAUUUUAUUAUAAGAACAAUAAACCAAACAGGUUGACCAAACUUGACAGAAAGAGACUGAAUAUGAGAGAAAACUUCAUCAGUAAUAGUAGAGUCUUGAACGAGGAUAAGAACAUUAUAAAGCCACCCAACAUUCUCCAUCAAAGUGACCAAUAAGUUUAGUUUCUAAACAUACAACAAAACUGCUACCACAUCUUGAUAGGUUUGUUGCCAAUAGUCAUUAAACUAGUAGUGUGUGUUUUGUGACUUCAACUUUCAAUCCUUAAAUAAUUUCAGAACUCACAAAGGAAGUUACAAGCGGUAUUCAAAAUCAUGCUUAACCAAACUGAUUCGAAAAGUGAUUUAAAUUUAAAGACCUACUUCAACAAACAAACUAACAAGAAAUUAGGAUAUGAAAGAGUAUAGGGAAAUCUCAUGUUAUCUCUUUGAAAUUAGUUAUAAACACAACAUACAAAUCGACACUAGUGGUCAUUCUCUUAAUCAGUGCAGAACAUGUAACCUCACAAAAUUGUUUCUUUUUUUUUAUAGAACAUGAAUCAUUCAAAUCAAGUCACAUGAUUCAAAAUCGAGAAAAAUACCUUGAUAUAGAAAACGAAAUACAGAGGGAAAAUGAUAACAAGAAGAAUGAUUCAGGAGCUCAGCAAUACAGCAGCAAAGAUCAAUAGAACUCGAACACGAAUCCAAAGCUUUGAGGAUUAGGAAUUUCACUACCAAACUCCGGAAAUUGUCUCUGAUUUUUCUUCGAUUUUUCUCCGAAAAUGAACUAAAAAGAUUGAAUCAAAAUCGAACUUAAACCAUUUUGUUGUUUUUGUUUCUUUUAUCUUUCUAAAAAAAGAAGCAGGCUAAAGAAAAAUGGCUUGAAGAAAAUGACCACUUCAAACCCUAGAAACUCGACUCAAUUUUUCUGAAGAUAUUUCCCAAUAUUUUCUCUAACCUAGCACACAGACUUACCUCGAAUAUAUAUAGCCUUCAAAAUCUUAAAAAAUCUGCCCUAAAAUCCGAAAUAUGUUCAGGUCUUUGAACAAUUUUUGGGACAAAUGGAGGGCGUGGAUUUUUUUACAUCUAUCCAUGGCUCCCAUUCAUCGAAUAAAUUGUUCCUAUAGUACAGAAAUCAUGCGAUUUGAGGGAAUAUUCGAAUUCUUUCUGACAAAAAAACGUUGGGAAUCAAAUGACAUGGAGGGGAGGGGACCAUUUGAGUGAACUCGGGCGAGUUGAGGUUGAAUUGGGGAUUGAAUCAGUGAAGGAGAUGGUGAACAGUGAGGGUGCGAUGCUUCAUCAGUUAGGUCUAGGGUUCAUGAUUUUGGGUAAAAAUUAUCAGAUGGUUUAUAUAUUAG